CAGUCGCCGCGGUAAUACGAAGGGUGCAAGCGUUAAUCGGAAUUACUGGGCGUAAAGCGUGCGUAGGCGGUGAGUUAAGUCUGCUGUGAAAUCCCCGGGCUCAACCUGGGAAUGGCAGUGGAUACUGGCUCGCUAGAGUGUGUCAGAGGAUGGUGGAAUUCCCGGUGUAGCGGUGAAAUGCGUAGAGAUCGGGAGGAACAUCAGUGGCGAUGGCGGCCAUCUGGGACAACACUGACGCUGAGGCACGAAAGCGUGGGGAGCAAACAGGAUUAGAUACCCGCGUAGUCCCUGUCUCUUAUAC
rnacentral:rRNA from 1 species